GCUAUUAGAUAGCUCAGUCGGUAGAGCAUGAGAUACUUCAUCUCAGGGUUGUGGGUUUGAGCCCCACAGUGGGCA